UACGGGGGGGGCAAGCGUUGUUCGGAAUUACUGGGCGUAAAGGGCUCGUAGGCGGCCAACUAAGUCGGACGUGAAAUCCCCAGGCUCAACCUGGGAACUGCGUCCGAUACUGGAUGGCUUGAAUUCGGGAGAGGGAUGCAGAAUUCCAGGUGUAGCGGUGAAAUGCGUAGAUAUCUGGAGGAAUACCGGUGGCGAAGGCGGCAUCCCGGACCGACAUUGACGCUGAGGCACGAAAGCGUGGGGAGCAAACAGG
rnacentral:rRNA from 1 species